AGUGAACGCUGGCGGUAGGCCUAACACAUGCAAGUCGAACGGCAGCACAGUAAGAGCUUGCUCUUACGGGUGGCGAGUGGCGGACGGGUGAGGAAUACAUCGGACUCUACUUUUUCGUGGGGGAUAACGUAGGGAAACUUACGCUAAUACCGCAUACGACCUACGGGUGAAAGCAGGGGAUCUUCGGAUCUUGCGCGAUUGUAUGAGCCGAUGUCGGAUUAGCUAGUUGGCGGGGUAAAGGCCCACCAAGGCGACGCUCCGUAGCUGGUCUGAGAGGAUGAUCAGCCACACUGGAACUGAGACACGGUCCAGACUCCUACGGGAGGCAGCAGUGGGGAAUAUUGGACAAGGGGCGCAAGCCUGAUCCAGCCAUACCGCGUGGGUGAAGAAGGCCUUCGGGUUUUAAAGCCCUUUUGUUGGGAAAGAAAAGCAGCAGGUUAAUACCCCGCUGUUCUGACGGUACCCAAAGAAUAAGCACCGGCUAACUUCGUG
rnacentral:rRNA from 1 species